GAAGGUGUUUAGUGUCUGGCGAUACUCGCAGUCUUCAAAACUGUUGUGGGGCCGAACAGGUUCAGGUUGGGUUCGAUUCCCAUACGCCUCCGCCA
rnacentral:tRNA from 1 species